AGAGACCCACCGAGCGGCGGCGGAGGGAGCAGCGCCGGGGCGCACGAGGGCACCAUGGCCCAGACGCCCGCCUUCGACAAGCCCAAAGUAGAACUGCAUGUCCACCUAGACGGAUCCAUCAAGCCUGAAACCAUCUUAUACUAUGGCAGGAGGAGAGGGAUCGCCCUCCCAGCUAACACAGCAGGGGGGCUGCUGAACGUCAUUGGCAUGGACAAGCCGCUCACCCUUCCAGACUUCCUGGCCAAGUUUGACUACUACAUGCCUGCUAUCGCGGGCUGCCGGGAGGCUAUCAAAAGGAUCGCCUAUGAGUUUGUAGAGAUGAAGGCCAAAGAGGGCGUGGUGUAUGUGGAGGUGCGGUACAGUCCGCACCUGCUGGCCAACUCCAAAGUGGAGCCAAUCCCCUGGAACCAGACUGAGUGAGUGAUGGGCCUGGAAGGGGCCAUGCUGAGGGUGUGGCUGGGAGGCUCAGCUGUGAGACUGGAAGGGCGAACUGCUGGGAAUCCCUGACCCAAGCAAGACCUUGUUCUUGCCCCCAGUCUGGUCCAUGGC
rnacentral:sRNA from 1 species